rnacentral:rRNA from 1 species
GACGAACGCUGGCGGCGUGCUUAACACAUGCAAGUCGAACGGGCCUGUCUUCUUUUUUGGGGGGUGGGUUGAGUGGCGAACGGGUGAGUAUCACGUGAGUAACCUGCCCUUCGGUCCUGGAUAACCGCUUGAAAGGGCGGCUAAUACGGGGUGGUCCGGUUGGUCCGCAUGGGCUGGUCGGGAUAGAUUCACUGUUUUUGGUGUUUCGGCGGGGGAUGGGCUCGCGGCCUAUCAGCUUGUUGGUGGGGUGAUGGCCUACCAAGGCGGUGACGGGUAGCCGGCCGGAGAGGGUGGGCGGCCACACGGGGACUGAGAUACGGCCCAGACUCCUGCGGGAGGCAGCAGUGGGGGGUAGUGCACAAUGGGCGGAAGCCUGAUGCAGCGACGUCGCGUGAGGGAGGGAGGCCUUCGGGUUGUGAACCUCUGUUUCCGGUGGUGAAGGCCCUGUCCGUGUGGUGGGGUUGACGGUAGCCGGGGAUGAAGCGCCGGCUAACUACGUG